CAUUUAAUUUAAAAAUGACACAUUAAGAAAGUUAGCAAACCAAGACCAGAGAGACAGUAGAAUACACCCCUAGAUUUUAACUUCCUCUAGUCUUCUCUGACUAUAUAUAUAUAACCUGAUACAAUCUGUAAAACAAGAAGAAACGCACACACACACAAGAAGAAACAAGAAGAUUCGAUUGAAGGUGCUUUUUAAUUUGUUGAAUUAUUCUGAAACGUUUGAAGGGGUUUGAUGGUGAACGUUAUCAUUCUCGUGGACUUGAUCUUGGUCAAAGAAUUGAGAAGAAGAAGAAGACUCUGUUUUGCCGACUUUAUCUUCUUAGUAAAAUAUUAGACGAGAGACAAACAUUUCAUUUAGAAGGGUCUCAAAAUGUCGAAUUAGUAGUUGUUGUCUUUGUAUAAUAAUCAAGAGAUGGUCCAACCAAAAAGACAAAAAAAAAGCUGCUUACUCGGUUCUAUUGUCUAUUUACAAUCGAAUUUAUCUAAUCAUAUCAAUGUGGAGUUCUGGUACUUUUGGACCAGGGAUGCCUUCAAUUCUUCUUGCCUUUUGUAGAAAAAUUGUAUUCGCCACUUUGAUUCGAGAAUGAUCUACUAUUCUUUAGUUUA